CUGGGUGGUGGGCAAAACACAGGAUCUACUUCGGAAAAGUCGUAUUCCUGGUCAUAAUGAUGGCCAGAACGAAAAGGAGCACCUGAGGAACUUUCAAAAGCUACUGCAACUUCUUCUGGAGAACAGACUGAGUAAAAAGGUCCAAAUUGGAGCACAGUUCUAAUGCCACUGUACAGGUUGCUGAGAGACCAGUUGACCUGACGUUGGAAACAACAGGAACAGGAUACCUUCAACAAAUGCAAAGAACUUAACGAGUGAGCAGGUCUUAGUUGACUCGUAAGUAAAAACGAUCCUUUACAUUUUACAUGUACCUUCCAGUAAUUUUGCAGAUGCAUUUGAGUUAUUUUGCGGCGGCAGGGGGGACAGCGACUGCUGUCCUAGCUUCAGGGGUAAACUGGUUCCAUCUUUGGGGUGCCAGGACAGAGAAGA
ensembl:lncRNA